rnacentral:lncRNA from 1 species
AGGAUCAGAAGCCAAUGCAUGAGAGGCAGCCAAGGCAAGGAGAGUAAUGAGAAGAUUUUGGCAGCCAUCUGUAGGCUUUAGGGUGGAUGAAGUUGCUUGGUGCUGUGAUACAAAUGGUUGAAGGAGAAGGAUACAUAUAGAGAAGCUGUAGGCUCUGAGACAUUCUUGAUCAUUAGGUGAAAGAGUUGAAAUGUACAACGUGUUGGGUGCCAUCUGCUUGCAGGGUGUGAAGCUUUU